AUUGAACGCUGGCGGCAGGCCUAACACAUGCAAGUCGAGCGGAUGAAGGGAGCUUGCUCCUGGAUUCAGCGGCGCACGGGUGAGUAAUGCCUAGGAAUCUGCCUGGUAGUGGGGGAUAACGUCCGGAAACGGGCGCUAAUACCGCAUACGUCCUGAGGGAGAAAGCGGGGGAUCUUCGGACCUCACGCUAUCAGAUGAGCCUAGGUCGGAUUAGCUAGUUGGUGGGGUAAAGGCCUACCAAGGCGACGAUCCGUAACUGGUCUGAGAGGAUGAUCAGUCACACUGGAACUGAGACACGGUCCAGACUCCUACGGGAGGCAGCAGUGGGGAAUAUUGGACAAUGGGCGAAAGCCUGAUCCAGCCAUGCCGCGUGUGUGAAGAAGGUCUUCGGAUUGUAAAGCACUUUAAGUUGGGAGGAAGGGCAGUAAGUUAAUACCUUGCUGUUUUGACGUUACCAACAGAAUAAGCACCGGCUAACUUCGUG
rnacentral:rRNA from 1 species